rnacentral:rRNA from 1 species
AUUGAACGCUGGCGGAAUGCUUUACACAUGCAAGUCGAACGGCAGCACGGACUUCGGUCUGGUGGCGAGUGGCGAACGGGUGAGUAAUAUAUCGGAACGUGCCCAGUCGUGGGGGAUAACGGAGUGAAAAUUACGCUAAUACCGCAUACGAUCUACGGAUGAAAGCGGGGGAUCGGAAGACCUCGCUCGAUUGGAGCGGCCGAAAUCAGGUUAGGUAGUUGGUGAGGUAAAGGCACACCAAGCCAACGAUCUGUAGCUGGUCUGAUCGGACGACCAGCCACACUGGAACUGAGACACGGCCCAGAGUCCUACGGGAGGCAGCAUUGGUGAAUUUUGGACAAUCGACGCAAGUCUGAUCCAGCCAUUCCGCGUGCAGGACGAAGGCCUUCGGAUUGUAAACUGCUUUUGUACAGGACGAAAAGGUAUCUAUUAAUACUAGGGGCUCAUGACGGUACUGUAAGAAUAAGCACCGGCUAACUACGUGCCAGCAGCCGCAGUAA